rnacentral:rRNA from 1 species
UACGUAGGGUGCAAGCGUUAAUCGGAAUUACUGGGCGUAAAGCGUGCGCAGGCGGUUUUGUAAGUCUGAUGUGAAAUCCCCGGGCUCAACCUGGGAAUUGCAUUGGAGACUGCAAGGCUAGAAUCUGGCAGAGGGGGGUAGAAUUCCACGUGUAGCAGUGAAAUGCGUAGAGAUGUGGAGGAACACCGAUGGCGAAGGCAGCCCCCUGGGUCAAGAUUGACGCUCAUGCACGAAAGCGUGGGGAGCUAACAGG